GACGAACGCUGGCGGCGUGCCUAACACAUGCAAGUCAAGGGGAAAGGUUUCUUCGGAGACCGAUUACACUGGCGGACGGGUGAGUAACGCGUAGGUAACCUGCCCUCAAGCUUGGGAUAACCUCUGGAAACGGGGGCUAAUACCGGAUGUGGUCUUGAUGUUGCAUAGCAUUAAGAUUAAAGCUGGGUUUCUAGCACUUGAGGAUGGGCCUGCGUUCCAUUAGCUAGUUGGUGAGGUAACGGCCCACCAAGGCGACGAUGGAUAGCUGGUCUGAGAGGAUGAUCAGCCACACUGGGACUGAGAUACGGCCCAGACUCCUACGGGAGGCAGCAGUGGGGAAUAUUGCGCAAUGCCCGCAAGGGUGACGCAGCGACGCCGCGUGGGUGAAGAAGGCC
rnacentral:rRNA from 1 species